GACGAACGCUGGCGGCGUGCCUAAUACAUGCAAGUAGAACGCUGAAGGAGGAGCUUGCUCUUCUGGAUGAGUUGCGAACGGGUGAGUAACGCGUAGGUAACCUGCCUGGUAGCGGGGGAUAACUAUUGGAAACGAUAGCUAAUACCGCAUAAGAGUAGAUGUUGCAUGACAUUUGCUUAAAAGGUGCAAUUGCAUCACUACCAGAUGGACCUGCGUUGUAUUAGCUAGUUGGUGGGGUAACGGCUCACCAAGGCGACGAUACAUAGCCGACCUGAGAGGGUGAUCGGCCACACUGGGACUGAGACACGGCCCAGACUCCUACGGGAGGCAGCAGUAGGGAAUCUUCGGCAAUGGACGGAAGUCUGACCGAGCAACGCCGCGUGAGUGAAGAAGGUUUUCGGAUCGUAAAGCUCUGUUGUACGAGAAGAACGAGUGUGAGAGUGGAAAGUUCACACUGUGACGGUAUCUUACCAGAAAGGGACGGCUAACUACGUG
rnacentral:rRNA from 1 species